GACGAACGCUGGCGGCGUGCUUAACACAUGCAAGUCGAACGGAAAGGCCCUGCUUUUGUGGGGUGCUCGAGUGGCGAACGGGUGAGUAACACGUGAGUAACCUGCCCUUGACUUUGGGAUAACUUCAGGAAACUGGGGCUAAUACCGGAUAGGAGCUCCUGCUGCAUGGUGGGGGUUGGAAAGUUUCGGCGGUUGGGGAUGGACUCGCGGCUUAUCAGCUUGUUGGUGGGGUAGGGGCUUACCAAGGCUUUGAAGGGUAGCCCGCAUGAGAGGGUGACCGGACACAAUGGGACUGAGAUACGGACCAGAAGCCUACGGGAGGCAGUAGUGGGAAAUAUUGCAGAACGGCGGGGAGUCUGAUGCAGAAACGCCGCGUGCGGGAAGACGGCCUUCGGGUGGUAAACCGCUUUCGCAUGUGACGAAGCGUGAGUGACGGUAAUGGGUAAAGAAGCACCGGCUAACUACGUG
rnacentral:rRNA from 1 species